GUUCUUGAUGAACUUGGCGUCGACUCCCUUCAUGGAGAGGAAGAUGUGCUUCUUUGGCUUCGUGAUUCCAUUACGGUGAGCCUUCUUGUCUGAAAAUUAAAUUAUAAAUAUUCAAUACUGUUUUUUUCUAGUUUUUAUUUUAAUGAUUCAUCCAAAAAAAAAAUCGCUCAAAUUCUUUAAGAAUGCUUUUAAAAAGAGAUUUCUCUACAGAAACUACUUUUAUAUCUGAAUUUAAAUACUCACUCUGGUUGUGAUUGGUGUGG
rnacentral:sRNA from 1 species